rnacentral:misc_RNA from 1 species
UUCUUAGUUUCUGGAGGCAGCUCUGCAUACCCAAAUAAAGAAAUAACACAAAUUAACAACGAAAUAAACAGAACCUCUGCAUACAAAAUUCGAGAGAAACAGUGUUAGUCCAAUGAUACAAUAGUAUGAUAAUGCAUACGAGAAGGCCACUACAAGGCAUCUUUUGUUCCGGCUACAGGAGUUCAUUCUUCACAGGAACAUGUUCAGAACUUUACUGCACUUAAUGAAUAAAAU